CAGCCGCCGCGGUAAUACAGAGGGUGCGAGCGUUAAUCGGAAUUACUGGGCGUAAAGCGUGCGCAGGCGGUUUCGUAAGACAGAUGUGAAAUCCCCGGGCUUAACCUGGGAACUGCAUUUGUGACUGCGAGGCUAGAGUGUGUCAGAGGGGGGUGGAAUUCCACGUGUAGCAGUGAAAUGCGUAGAUAUGUGGAGGAACACCGAUGGCGAAGGCAGCCCCCUGGGAUAACACUGACGCUCAUGCACGAAAGCGUGGGGAGCAAACAGGAUUAGAUACCCCAGUAGUCCCUGUCUCUUAUAC
rnacentral:rRNA from 1 species